rnacentral:rRNA from 1 species
AAGGCUGUAGCUCUGGCCCCCUUGGGUAUAUGUGCACGUCUCUUGUUCCU